rnacentral:rRNA from 1 species
CAGCCGCCACGGUAAUACAGAGGAUGCAAGCGUUAUCCGGAAUGAUUGGGCGUAAAGCGUCUGUAGGUGGCUUUUCAAGUCCGCCGUCAAAUCCCAGGGCACAACCCUAGACAGGCGGUGGAAACUACCAAGCUGGAGUACGGUAGGGGCAGAGGGAAUUUCCAGUGGAGCGGUGAAAUGCGUUGAGAUCGAAAAGAACACCAACAGCGAAAGCACUCUGCUGGGACGACACUGACACUGAGAGACGAAAGCUAGGGGAGCAAAUGGGAUUAGAUACCCCAGUAGUCCCUGUCUCUUAUAC